rnacentral:lncRNA from 1 species
UGAAGCCAGAUUUAAAGUUAGGUAGUCAGUGUAGUUAGGUAAAUCGGGUCUAAUACCGAGUGAAAUCUAAAAUGGAGGCCAUGCUGGCAAUGAUUCCGGGAAACGCAGGACAACUCAUGGAAUGUUAAUGAAGUCCCGAAAAGGCCCUAGGCCAAAGUCCACCUCAAAGAAAUGUUAAUGAACAGCCCCCAGCAAAAAGGUGCUGACUCAGAAGUCCUUCCUGACCAGAUUACUUCUUUGGCCCACCUGUGUCCCACCCCUCGGUCCUUCCCACCUACAUUCCAUCACUGAAAGAACUAUAAAAAGGGGAGACAACAUCCCUUCCACGGAUUCCACCUCUUGGGUCCCCUUCUUCCUC